rnacentral:sRNA from 1 species
AAGUGUCAUAUUUAUUAGCUAUAACUUAUAACUUUAUAAGUUUUGAAUGGAUGCAGUGGACAAAGCGGUAUACUUUGUAUGCGGUUUAAUCUACCUUAUUUUGAGGCGGACAAUAAACCGCUGUGGACCAAGUUUAUUUAUAUGUAAAAAUAGUUCGUGGAUGAUUCACAGAUGAUCUGUUGCGGUUUUCUUCUUUUUUUUUUGUCCGGACCACUGUGCACUAUAAUUGAUUAAUGGUAAAUAAAAAACAGUCUGAUCCGUUGAUGGUUUUGUCCGCCCGAACCGCCGUAACCAUUCAAACCCAUAAUUAAAAUUAUAACGAAUUACUAUGUA